CCUACGGGUGGCAGCAGUGAGGAAUAUUGGUCAAUGGGCGCGAGCCUGAACCAGCCAAGUAGCGUGAAGGAUGACUGCCCUACGGGUUGUAAACUUCUUUUAUAAGGGAGUAAAGUGAGGCACGUGUGCCUUUUUGUAUGUACUUUAUGAAUAAGGAUCGGCUAACUCCGUGCCAGCAGCCGCGGUAAUACGGAGGAUACGAGCGUUAUCCGGAUUUAUUGGGUUUAAAGGGAGCGUAGAGGGGUUGUUAAGUCAGUUGUGAAAGUUUGGGGCUCAACCAUAUAAUUGCAAUUGAUACUGGGAGUCUUGAGUACAGGUGAGGUAGGCGGAAUGCGUGGUGUAGCGGUGAAAUGCUUAGAUAUCACGAAGAACUCCGAUUGCGAAGGCAGCUUACUAGACCGCCACUGACAUUGAUGCUCGAAAGUGUGGGUAUCAAACAGGAUUAGAUACCCGAGUAGUC
rnacentral:rRNA from 1 species